CGCACAUUGCGCCCAUUGGUAUUCCGAUGGGCACGUCUGUUUGAGCGUCAUCGCAACCCUUCGGCUCCGCCUUUGGCAGCCGGUGCUGGGCUCUGUCCUGACCCAACUUUGGUUGGGGGACUGGCUUUAAAGUUGCGCGCUCCGCGGGCCUGCCGACCCAGCUAAACAUAGUAGAAUCUCCGAAUUGUUGAACUGGUUGGUAGGGCUCCGCCUGAAAAAAACCUCUCUUGAAGUUUGACCUCAGAUCAGACGAGGAUACCCGCUGAACUUAA
rnacentral:misc_RNA from 1 species